rnacentral:lncRNA from 1 species
CUCAUUCUCAUUCUUUUUAUUCAUUAUUUAAAAUCAAAUAACAUACUUCAAAAACUAUGCCAUAUUUUUCUUCCAUUGGCUGUCAUUCUGAAAAAAUUGCAAGAGAAAUUGUAGCAAAACAUGUUUGUUCCUCCAUGGAAUAUAUAAACUAUAAAUAUACGGAUCCCACAUUAAAUAGGAUUAACUCAACAUAAUAAUCAUUAAUUAAUAGUCACUGAAUGUCACAUAGAUAAUGUUUUAGGCACUAUUAAAAAAAAUGAUGAAAAAUUUACCCAGAGACAUAACAAGGAAUACCAGGAAGCAGAGAUGGUUGUUUAUCAGCUGUGGAAUAUCCAAAAGUAGGUUCUGAUUGGGAAUCCAUUCUAUUUUAAAAUACUAAAAAUCUAACUUUAAAGCCUUCAUAGACUUUAUUUUUUCUUAAUGAUUUCCUUUGCAUUUCCAGCUGAAUCUCUUCAGGCAGUUACUGGGGAACAAAUGAAUUAGCUUAUCAAACAGGUCUUUAGUCUUUUGAAUGUUUC